rnacentral:lncRNA from 1 species
CACAGGUCCAACAUGAUGUCAUAUGGUAUGGAGCAUCCCUGUGGUCAGUUUGGGUCAUCUGUCCUGGUUUUGUUCUCUCACAACUCCCUGUGCACUCCCCGCCUGCCUUGAUGGUGAGACAGUACAAGACGCUAAGAAAACUGAAAUGUCCUCAGCUCUUUGCAGCACUGCUCAGCAACAACUAAAACAUCAAUGUUACAUCAACAUCAUUUUUCACCUAAAGCCAAAACAUAGGAUAAUACCGACCACUAUGAAGAAAAUCAACUAAUUCCCAGAUGAAAUAAGGACAUUUUUCAUGGUAAUUCCAGCGAUGAAAAGCAGAACAUCACUACAGUUUACCUACUAUGAUGGAGAAUAUUUUGGAAGCUAUCUGUUUGGUCAAGGAAAAGUGACACAGUAUUCUAAGGAAGCACUGAUGUGUUAUCUACUAAUAGCCUGCUUCUCAGAAAAUAAAACAGCUCUGCUCUUGUGAGACACCACCUGGAGUACUGCACGCUGUUCUGGGGCCCCCAACACAAGAAGGACGUGGAGCUGCUGGAGCAGGUCCAGAGGAGGGCCAAGAAGAUGAUCGGAGAACUGGAGCACCUCCCCUACAGGGACAAGCUGAGGGAGCUGGAGCUUUUCACCCUGGAGAAGAGAAGGCCUCAGGGGAACCGUAUAGCAGCCUUCCAGUACCUGAAGGGGGCCUACAAGAGAGAAAGACCUACAGGUCCAGCAGGAAGUCCAUUUGCUACGCACUUCACAAGGAAGUCCAUGCAACUGAUAUUCCUAUCAGAGUUCAAAACAAUGAAACGUCAAUCAAAAAAUAGAAGAUCUUGGAAGGCAACAGCUGAACUCAAACAACCCUUCUAUUCAAGUCUGGAACACAGCCAGUGUCAGUAUCUUAAAAGUGGAAAAAGAAGAGAUAUGGAUCUAUUCGAGUGCAUUCAGAGGAGGACCACAAAAAUGAUCCAAGGAAUGGAACACCUCCCCUAUGAGGAUGGACUGGAAGAGCUGGGGCUGUUCAGCCUGGAGAGGAGAAGGCUCCAGGGAGACCUGAGAGCGACUUUUCAGUAUAUAAAAGAGGGCUGUGAGAAAGAAGGGGGUGGACUCUUUAGCAGGGUCUGUGGUGACAGGAUGAGGGAAAAUGAUUUCAAACUAGAAGAGAUGAGAUUUAGACUUUAUAUAAAGGAAAAGUUUUUUACAGUAAGGCUAGUGAGAAUACUGGAAUAUGUUGUCCAGAAAGACAGUGAAUGCUCCAUCCCUGGCAACACUCAAGGUCAGGCUGGAUGGGGCUCUGAGCUCUGGAUCGUGCUGAAGGUGACCCUGUUCAUUGACGGGGAGUUGGACUAGAUGACCUUUAAAGGUCCCUUCCAACUCUAAGGAUUGUACGAUUCUGUGAUUCUAUCAAUGUAAAUGGCAAAAAUAACCUCUUCAAAACUUUUUUUUUUUUUUUCAGAAAAGAAAAGGAAAGGAGAGGAAAGGAGAGGAGAGGAGAG